GUGGGGAAUAUUGGACAAUUGGCGAAAGCCUGAUCCAGCCAUGCCGCGUGUGUGAAGAAGGUCUUCGGAUUGUAAAGCACUUUAAGUUGGGAGGAAGGGCAGUAAGUUAAUACCUUGCUGUUUUGACGUUACCGACAGAAUAAGCACCGGCUAACUUCGUGCCAGCAGCCGCGGUAAUACGAAGGGUGCAAGCGUUAAUCGGAAUUACUGGGCGUAAAGCGCGCGUAGGUGGUUUUGUAAGUUGGAGGUGAAAUCCCCGGGCUCAACCUGGGAACUGCCUCCAAAACUGCAUGACUAGAGUACGGUAGAGGGUAGUGGAAUUUCCUGUGUAGCGGUGAAAUGCGUAGAUAUAGGAAGGAACACCAGUGGCGAAGGCGACUACCUGGACUGAUACUGACACUGAGGUGCGAAAGCAUGGGGAGCAAACAGGAUUAGAAACCCCUGUAGUCC
rnacentral:rRNA from 1 species